rnacentral:rRNA from 1 species
GAUGAACGCUGGCGGCGUGCCUAAUGCAUGCAAGUCGAGCGAACAGACGAGGAGCUUGCUCCUUCGACGUUAGCGGCGGACGGGUGAGUAACACGUAGGUAACCUACCUAUAAGACUGGGAUAACUUCGGGAAACCGGAGCUAAUACCGGAUAAUAUUUCGAACCGCAUGGUUCGAUAGUGAAAGAUGGCUUUGCUAUCACUUAUAGAUGGACCUGCGCCGUAUUAGCUAGUUGGUAAGGUAACGGCUUACCAAGGCAACGAUACGUAGCCGACCUGAGAGGGUGAUCGGCCACACUGGAACUGAGACACGGUCCAGACUCCUACGGGAGGCAGCAGUAGGGAAUCUUCCGCAAUGGGCGAAAGCCUGACGGAGCAACGCCGCGUGAGUGAUGAAGGUCUUCGGAUCGUAAAACUCUGUUAUUAGGGAAGAACAAACGUGUAAGUAACUGUGCACGUCUUGACGGUACCUAAGCAGAAAGCCACGGCUAACUACGU